rnacentral:lncRNA from 1 species
GGGAUGGGGUGGGGGGUGCAGAGAAGAGAGCGUUGGACUCCACUAUACUUCCCCUAACUGCCUCUUCACCAGCUUGCUGCCCAUCUCCCUUCCUCGGCUUCCUGUUCACAAAGCUGAAUUACAAGAACUAGGAUGAGGUUCAGUUCUUUUUCUAGGCUUCAAGAAACUCCCUUUUAAAACUUCAUGAUUAUGAUCAGAAAAGGGAAAGUUAUAGUACCUACUUUAGGAGAAUGCAGCCACAUUGCUCUUCAUUUUUUUGGUUGCACGAGGCAGGAGAAGGAAACUUUUUUGUCCUACGUCAUUGUUCUUAGGAGCAUCUCACAGAAGCAGACCUACCCUUGAACUGAUCCCUCAUCUCAAAACGUGGGUGUAAUAUAAACGCACCCCUGACAAAGCAAGACGUUAGGGGGAAAAAGCAACAGCUUACGCAAUACCACAGUGCAAGGGAAGGCGGAGCUUCUCAGUAUUUGCAGACAUGUUAUUAAAUUCUAAUUCUGGCAAACAAUAAAGAGGAAAACAGAAAGAGGCUUUCAACUGGAUGGUAAAAUGCAGUUUGCGUGACACCGUUGACCGUCAACGACAGGAUGCCUUCUUUCACUCACCUCCCAAACAAGUACUACGGAUCCGAUACUCAGGAAGCAUAACAUUCAAACUUUGCUUUCAAGCUAGUAUAAGGAAACGUGCAGCCAGCCCAGACCCUCAGGCCUGCGCAUCAAGAUGGCAGGCUGGCCAAGGGUCCUCUGGGGACAGCAGUGCCAGAAGGAGGAUUGGACACGGUGACCCGUCUGCAUGAGAUGAGGAAAAAAACAACAACAACCAACAACCAGGAGAAUAUAAUGCAUAUGCCUUGGACUUUUGGUGACAGCAUUGAUUUUUGGAAACACUGUUCCUAAAUGAGAAAGAACACUUGUAGGCCAUAAAACAACAUAAAAAGGAUGGGUGGUCAUCUUG